rnacentral:snoRNA from 1 species
GGGCAAUGAUGAUAGAUUUACGUUUCUGGAUUCUGAUUUCAAUUUUUUUCUUAAAUUCUUUUAAUUUAAGGACUAAACAGCUUUCUAAUGACAGCAUUUGUGCGUGUAUGAGCCUC